UACGGAGGGAGCUAGCGUUGUUCGGAAUUACUGGGCGUAAAGCGCACGUAGGCGGCUUUGUAAGUUAGAGGUGAAAGCCCGGGGCUCAACCCCGGAAUUGCCUUUAAGACUGCAUCGCUUGAAUCCAGGAGAGGUGAGUGGAAUUCCGAGUGUAGAGGUGAAAUUCGUAGAUAUUCGGAAGAACACCAGUGGCGAAGGCGGCUCACUGGACUGGGUAUUGACG
rnacentral:rRNA from 1 species